GCUGCCGCCCAGCAGUAGACGCUGUCUCAGCCAGGCUAGCCGCAGUUCCUGUGGUGUGUGAGUGAGCCCGGGCCUGGUCCCUUCUCACGCCGCCGCCAUAGGCUGCACGUUGAGCGCCGAAGACAAGGCGGCGGUGGAGCGGAGCAAGAUGAUCGACCGCAAUUUGCGGGAGGACGGGGAGAAAGCGGCCAAAGAAGUGAAGCUGCUGCUUCUCGGUGCUGCAGAAUCUGGUAAAAGCACCAUUGUGAAACAAAUGAAAAUCAUUCAUGAGGAUGGCUAGUCAGAGGAAGAAUGUAAACAAUAUAAAGUAGUUGUCUACAGCAAUACUAUACAGUCCAUCAUUGCAAUCAUAAGAGCCAUGGGCCGGCUAAAGAUUGACUUUGGGGAAGCUGCCAGAGCAGAUGAUGCCCGGCAAUUAUUUGUUUUAGCUGGCAGUGCUGAAGAAGGAAUCAUGACUCCAGAACUAGCGGGAGUGAUUAAACGGUUAUGGCGAGAUGGUGGGGUGCAAGCUUGCUUCAGCAGAUCCAGGGAAUAUCAACUCAAUGAUUCUGCUUGAUAUUACCUAAAUGAUUUGGACAGAAUAUCCCAAACCGACUACAUUCCAACUCAGCAAGAUGUUCUUCGGACAAGAGUGAAGACCACCGGCAUUGUGGAAACACAUUUUACCUUCAAAGACCUAUACUUCAAGAUGUUUGAUGUGGGUGGCCAAAGAUUAGAACGAAAAAAGUGGAUUCACUGUUUUGAGGGAGCGACAGCAAUUAUCUUCUGUGUGGCCCUCAGUGAUUAUGACCUUCUUCUGGCUGAGGAUGAAGAGAUGAACCGAAUGCAUGAAAGCAUGAAACUCUUUGACAGCAUUUGUAAUAACAAAUGGUUUACAGACACUUCAAUCAUUCUUUUCCUUAAUAAGAAA